rnacentral:lncRNA from 1 species
AACCUGCGGCACGCAUGGACGGAGGCAGGUAGCGUCGUCCCACAGAUCGGGGGGGUCGGAGUCUAAGGCAUGCGUCGGAGAGGGAGUGGUCGCAGCCCAGAGUCAGUGUGCAGGGAUGGGGAGCCGGAUGCGGAGAUGCUCCGCUGUAACUUGAGCUCGUCGCCUUCGUCGUGGUCGGUGGGCAGCGGCAGCGUCAGCUCUACAAACC